rnacentral:rRNA from 1 species
AGAGUUUGAUCAUGGCUCAGAACGUACGCUGGCGGCACGCCUAAUACAUGCAAGUCGAACGAAGUAGCAAUACUUAGUGGCAGACGGGUGAGUAACAUGUGGGUAUCUUCCCUUUGGUGAGGAAUAACACGAGGAAACUUGUGCUAAUACCUCAUAAGUCUUUACGGAGAAAGCUUUAUGCGCCAAUGGAUGAGCCCGCACUUGAUUAGUUUGUUGGUGGGGUAAAGGCCUACCAAGACUAUGAUCAAUAGCUGAUUUGAGAGGAUGAUCAGCCACAUUGGGACUGAGACACGGCCCAAACUCCUACGGGAGGCAGCAGUAGGGAAUCUUGCACAAUGGAGGAAACUCUGAUGCAGCGAUGCCGCGUGAGUGAAGAAGGCCCUUGGGUUGUAAAGCUCUUUCGUCGGGGAAGAAAAUGACUGUACCCGAAUAAGAAGGUCCGGCUAACUUCGUGCCAGCAGCCGCGGUAAUACGAAGGGACCUAGCGUAGUUCGGAAUUACUGGGCUUAAAGAGUUCGUAGGUGGUUAAAAAAGUUGGUGGUGAAAGCCCAGAGCUUAACUCUGGAACGGCCAUCAAAACUUUUUAGCUAGAGUAUGAUAGAGGAAAGCAGAAUUUCUAGUGUAGAGGUGAAAUUCGUAGAUAUUAGAAAGAAUACCGAUUGCGAAGGCAGCUUUCUGGAUCAUUACUGACACUGAGGAACGAAAGCAUGGGUAGCGAAGAGGAUUAGAUACCCUCGUAGUCCAUGCCGUAAACGAUGUGUGUUAGAUGUUGGAAAUUUAUUUUCAGUA